rnacentral:rRNA from 1 species
ACGCUGGCGGCGGCCUAAACAUGCAAGUCGAGCGCCGUAGCAAUACGGAGCGGCAGACGGGAGAGUAACACGUGGGAACGUGCCCUUUGGUUCGGAACAACCCAGGGAAACUUGGGCUAAUACCGGAUAAGCCCUUACGGGGAAAGAUUUAUCGCCGAAGGAUCGGCCCGCGUCUGAUUAGCUAGUUGGUGGGGUAAUGGCCCACCAAGGCGACGAUCAGUAGCUGGUCUGAGAGGAUGAUCAGCCUCACUGGGACUGAGACACGGCCCAGACUCCUACGGGAGGCAGCAGUGGGGAAUAUUGGACAAUGGGCGCAAGCCUGAUCCAGCCAUGCCGCGUGGGUGAUGAAGGCCCUAGGGUUGUAAAGCCCUUUCGGCGGGGAAGAUAAUGACGGUACCCGCAGAAGAAGCCCCGGCUAACUUCGUGCCAGCAGCCGCGGUAAUACGAAGGGGGCUAGCGUUGCUCGGAAUCACUGGGCGUAAAGCGCACGUANGCGGAUUGCUAANUCAGGGGUGAAAUC